GAUGAACGCUGGCGGCGUGCCUAAUACAUGCAAGUCGAGCGAACGGACGAGAAGCUUGCUUCUCUGAUGUUAGCGGCGGACGGGUGAGUAACACGUGGAUAACCUACCUAUAAGACUGGGAUAACUUCGGGAAACCGGAGCUAAUACCGGAUGAUAUUUUGAACCGCGUGGUUCAAAAGUGAAAGACGGUCUUGCUGUCACUUAUAGAUGGAUCCGCGCUGCAUUAGCUAGUUGGUAAGGUAACGGCUUACCAAGGCAACGAUGCAUAGCCGACCUGAGAGGGUGAUCGGCCACACUGGAACUGAGACACGGUCCAGACUCCUACGGGAGGCAGCAGUAGGGAAUUGUCCGCAAUAGGCGAAAGCCUGACGGAGCAACGCCGCGUGAGUGAUGAAGGUCUUCGGAUCGUAAAACUCUGUUAUUAGGGAAGAACAUAUGUGUAAGUAACUGUGCACAUCUUGACGGUACCUAAUCAGAAAGCCACGGCUAACUACGUG
rnacentral:rRNA from 1 species